rnacentral:rRNA from 1 species
GACAGAGGGUGCAAACGUUGUUCGGAAUUACUGGGCGUAAAGCGCGUGUAGGCGGCUCGGAAAGUCGGAUGUGAAAGCCCAGGGCUCAACCCUGGAAGUGCACUCGAAACUCCCGAGCUGGAGUCCCGGAGAGGAAGGCGGAAUUCUCGGUGUAGAGGUGAAAUUCGUAGAUAUCGAGAGGAACACCUGUGGCGAAGGCGGCCUUCUGGACGGUGACUGACGCUGAGACGCGAAAGCGUGGGGGAGCAAACAGG